GCAGACACAUUUCAGCCAAUCAGCAGCAGACCCUCCCUCCCAGACCUUCCCACCUCCUGGACUGCAUCCAUUGUGAAGCUGCAUUCUUAGUGAGCUGUCCAGGAGGUGGGAGGGUCUGGGAGGGAGGGUCUGCUGCUGAUUGGCUGGAAUGUGUCU
rnacentral:miRNA from 1 species